GGGUUGUGAGGUUAAGCGACUAAGCGUACACGGUGGAUGCCCUGGCAGUCAGAGGCGAUGAAGGACGUGCUAAUCUGCGAUAAGCGCCGGUAAGGUGAUAUGAACCGUUAUAACCGGCGAUUUCCGAAUGGGGAAACCCAGUGUGACUCGUCACACUAUCAUUAACUGAAUCCAUAGGUUAAUGAGGCGAACCGGGGGAACUGAAACAUCUAAGUACCCCGAGGAAAAGAAAUCAACCGAGAUUCCCCCAGUAGCGGCGAGCGAACGGGGAGGAGCCCAGAGCCUGAAUCAGCAUGUGUGUUAGUGGAAGCGUCUGGAAAGGCGCGCGAUACAGGGUGACAGCCCCGUACACAAAAGCGCAUGUGCUGUGAGCUCGAUGAGUAGGGCGGGACACGUGAUAUCCUGUCUGAAUAUGGGGGGACCAUCCUCCAAGGCUAAAUACUCCUGACUGACCGAUAGUGAACCAGUACCGUGAGGGAAAGGCGAAAAGAACCCCGGCGAGGGGAGUGAAAAAGAACCUGAAACCGUGUACGUACAAGCAGUGGGAGCACCCUUUUGGGUGUGACUGCGUACCUUUUGUAUAAUGGGUCAGCGACUUAUAUUCUGUAGCAAGGUUAACCGAAUAGGGGAGCCGGAGGGAAACC
rnacentral:rRNA from 1 species